CCCAUCCACCACCCAGCCAAUCAGCUGGGCGCUGGGAUGCACAUUCCAAGGCACACCCAGGAGAAUUAUAUAUAUAGAUUUAAACCAAUAUAGGUUUCAGUAUUCUGCCUAACUAUAGAAUGAGAAGCCUUCAGUUUCUCAUCAAAUGGGCCUAAUGAGGAGGCACUUCCUUGUUCAAUUUCCUGACAGUUUUGAGCUAUCCGUUAUGUUAUUCUUCAGGAAUUUUGAUCUAAGUCAUCCAGCAGACUCACAGUAAAGCCUAGUAGAAAAUCCAUGGUAAAGCCUGCUGUCUGGGAAAGCUCCAGGAGGAGGAGGAGGAAGAAGAAGAAGAGCGUAGAGGAGAUAAGUGGUGGAAUGAGCAAGGAAGCAUGCUAUGCAAAAGUAUCUACAGUGCUGAACAAUGUCUCUCUGCUACUACUCUGCAGUGAUUUGGCACACUUGCUAUAUGCACUCUUGUGUUUUCUGUUCUUAUAUUGGGGAGGUCUUUGCUUUCGUCUCUGUUGGAAUGAUGGGCAUAGAAUGGUGCAUGUUCACAAGAAUCUACAGCUGACUGCCUCAUUCAGUUUCUUUUACGCAAAAGUAACCCUGGUUUUGAAUAAAGGGCUAUGAAAGAAA